UUGAUAUGUCAAGACAAAGGUAGGGGUGUGACUUCUCAGAAAUGUCCUUCUGUUUCCCAGAACUGCCUGUCGGUCUGUUGUUGAGCGGCUGGUAUCACCCCUCCCCCAUUAUCCCCCAUGUUGUUCCACCUCCUUGUGGGAGGAGCCAGGCGAGGCCACAGAUCAGACUCCUCCAUCUCAUCCCACCAACUCUGUCAGUCCACCAGGCCACUGCAGUAACAGCCAUAUCUUCACAUCACGUAGCUUCAGUACCAUCUCAAUGUGUUGAAGCACCAUCCUGGAUCCUGUGGCAACGUCAAUAUGAAACAGCAUUGACCCGUGAUCACCACCAACCAGGGCUCCACAGCGGUGUCCUUUGAUGCCCAGGAUUUGCUCAAGAUCAACUAAAGGAGAUUUGGAUGGCCCCUUGUCAG